rnacentral:rRNA from 1 species
AUACGGAGGGUGCAAGCGUUGUUCGGAAUUACUGGGCGUAAAGGGCGCGUAGGUGGUUGUGUAAGUCAGAUGUGAAAUCUCCCGGCUCAACCGGGAAACUGCAUCUGAUACUGCAUGACUAGAGUACAGGAGAGGGAAACGGAAUUCCCGGUGUAGAGGUGAAAUUCGUAGAUAUCGGGAGGAACACCGGUGGCGAAGGCGGUUUCCUGGCCUGAUACUGACGCUGAGGCGCGAAAGCGUGGGUAGCAAACAGGAUUAGAUACCCUGGUAGUCCACGCCGUAAACGGUGAGUACUGGGUGUGGGAGGUGUAAUGCCUUCUGUGCCGAAGCUAACGCGUUAAGUACUCCGCCUGGGGAGUACGGCCGCAAGGUUGAA